rnacentral:lncRNA from 1 species
UUGAGUCCGGACGACGAGUCUUUAAUUCCUAGAACCAUAUUAUAAGACUCAUGUUAUCCUCUAUCUAUCAUAAAUUUUAGCCCAAUUAAAGUAAAUUUGAGUCUACCAGGCCUAAUUGGGCCUCUAUGGGAAAGGUUGGGCCUGAUUUGUGGUUAAGUCCACUUUUUCUAGCCAAUUUGGCCUUCUGCCAAUUUAAUUAGGCCUGGUCUAGGCCUGAUUUAGGGCUAAUUAGGCCU